GACGAACGCUGGCGGCGUGCUUAACACAUGCAAGUCGAACGGAAAGGCCCUGCUUUUGUGGGGUGCUCGAGUGGCGAACGGGUGAGUAACACGUGAGUAACCUGCCCUUGACUUUGGGAUAACUUCAGGAAACUGGGGCUAAUACCGGAUAGGAGCUCCUGCUGCAUGGUGGGGGUUGGAAAGUUUCGGCGGUUGGGGAUGGACUCGCGGCUUAUCAGCUUGUUGGGGGGGUAGUGGCUUACCAAGGCUUUGACGGGUAGCCGGCCUGAGAGGGUGACCGGCCACAUUGGGACUGAGAUACGGCCCAGACUCCUACGGGAGGCAGCAUUGGGGAAUAUUGCACAAUGCGCGGAAGCCUGAUGCAGCAACGCCGCGUGCGGGAUGACGGCCUUCGGGUUGUAAACCGCUUUCGCCUGUGACGAAGCGUGAGUGACGGUAAUGGGUAAAGAAGCACCGGCUAACUACGUG
rnacentral:rRNA from 1 species